GACGAACGCUGACGGCGUGCUUAACACAUGCAAGUCGAAGGGAGUGGCGAACGGGUGAGUAACACGUGAGUAACCUGCCCUUUUCUUUGGGAUAAGCCUGGGAAACUGGGUCUAAUCCUGGCUGGAUUGGGGUUGGCUCGCGGCGUAUCAGCUUGUUGGUGGGGUGAUGGCUUACCAAGGCUUUGACGGGUAGCCGGCCUGAGAGGGUGGGCGGUCACACGGGGACUGAGCGACGGCCCAGACUCCUACGGGAGGCAGCAGUGGGGGAUAUUGCCCAAUGGCCGAAAGUCUGAUGCAGUGACGUUGGGUGGGGGAUGAAGGUCUUAGGGUUGUAAACUCCUUUCGCCCGCGGAAUGGUAGUGGGUAAAGAAGCGCCGGCUAACUACGUGCCAGCAGCCGCGGUAAUAC
rnacentral:rRNA from 1 species